rnacentral:rRNA from 1 species
CCCGAAAUUUAAUAAGCUAAAAAAUAUCCAUAUUAAAUUAUAAACAACAUUACUGUGGCAUAAGUAAAGUAAAAUAUUUUUUUAGAAAUGAAAUAUCCUCAAAUUAAAUGAUAUCUGGUUUUUCCUGAAAUGAAUUUAAUUCAGAAGUUUAAUUAGUCUAAAUUUAUUUUCAAAUAACAAAUACACACAUAAUUAAACUUUAUAAAAGUUGGGGGAUUAGCUCCAACUUUUAUUAAAACAAUUUCUUAAACAACAAAUAAAAUGUAUUAUAGGGCUGAAAUUACCCAUAAAUUAAUUAUUUUAAUAAAAAUUCUUAACUACAAAACAAAAUUUACUAACUGUUUAAUUAACUAAAGGAAAAUUAGCCUCUACCUUAUUAUCUUUAGCUUAACAAAGGUUACAUAAAAUAGAAAAAUAAGUAAACGCAUCUAAAUAUAGACUAUUCUAGUUUAUAGGCAUAAAAAUAUGUAAAAGGAACUAGGCAAACUUAAACUCGCCUGUUUACCAAAAACAACGUUAUUUGAAUCAAAUAAAUAAUAAAAUCUGCCCAAUGAUUUUAUAUUAAAUGGCCGCGGUACCCUAACCGUGCAAAGGUAGCAUAAUCAAUAGCCAUUUAAUUGAUGGCUGGUAUGAACGAUUACACGAAGUUUAAACUGUCUCUUACAUACUAUAGUAGAAAUUAACCUUAAAGUCAAAAGGCUUUAAUAAACUAAAAAGACGACAAGACCCUAUAGACCUUUACACUGAAAUUAUAUAAUUUAUUUUAAGUGUUUUAUUGGGGUGAUAAGGGGUUAGACAACACCUCUCUCUUUAACCAAAUAUAAUUGAUUUUAAGACCCAUAAAGUAUGAUCUAAAGAACAAGGUACCUUAGGGAUAACAGCGUAAUUUAUUCUGAGAGCCCCCAUCGAAGAAAAAAUUUGCGACCUCGAUGUUGGAUUAAGAUAAACUGCUAGUGCAAAAGCUUUCCAGUUAAGGUCUGUUCGACCUUUAAAAUCUUACAUGAUCUGAGUUCAGACCGGCGUAAGCCAGGUCGGUUUCUAUCUUUUAACCUUCAUAAAAACUCAGUACGAAAGGACC